UAAAAAUGAAUAACUUUCUCUCAUAUAAUCGCAGGGAUAUGGCCUGCAAGUUUCUACCGAACCCCAUAAAGGCUUCGACUAUGAGUAACGAUAUAUUGGUG
rnacentral:ncRNA from 1 species